GCUUGCCUGUUAGUCCCAUCCGGAGCGUCGACUAAAACAGGAUUUUCCGAAGUGCGUGUUUGCCGCGCGGCUGGAGAACAUAAUGCAGAAUAGGGUGGUGUUGCUUUGCUGUUGAGCAUUGCAUUACCCGAAACCUUAAUCAACAGCUAAGCAUGUAGACGCUUGAUGGGUUGCCAUCUCGGACCGGGGUUCAACUCCCCGCACCUCCACUA
rnacentral:tmRNA from 1 species